rnacentral:rRNA from 1 species
CCUUGAGGGGCAGACCAACAAUGCAGUCGAACGAUGGUCACGCAUUUCGGGCGGGGAUUAGUGGCGAACGGGUGAGUAACACGUGGGCAAUCUGCCCUGCACUCUGGGACAAGCCCUGGAAACGGGGUCUAAUACCGGAUAUGACUGUCCAUCGCAUGGUGGAUGGUGUAAAGCUCCGGCGGUGCAGGAUGAGCCCGCGGCCUAUCAGCUUGUUGGUGAGGUAGUGGCUCACCAAGGCGACGACGGGUAGCCGGCCUGAGAGGGCGACCGGCCACACUGGGACUGAGACACGGCCCAGACUCCUACGGGAGGCAGCAGUGGGGAAUAUUGCACAAUGGGCGAAAGCCUGAUGCAGCGACGCCGCGUGAGGGAUGACGGCCUUCGGGUUGUAAACCUCUUUCAGCAGGGAAGAAGCGAAAGUGACGGUACCUGCAGAAGAAGCGCCGGCUAACUACGUGCCAGCAGCCGCGGUAAUACGUAGGGCGCAAGCGUUGUCCGGAAUUAUUGGGCGUAAAGAGCUCGUAGGCGGCUUGUCACGUCGGUUGUGAAAGCCCGGGGCUUAACCCCGGGUCUGCAGUCGAUACGGGCAGGCUAGAGUUCGGUAGGGGAGAUCGGAAUUCCUGGUGUAGCGGUGAAAUGCGCAGAUAUCAGGAGGAACACCGGUGGCGAAGGCGGAUCUCUGGGCCGAUACUGACGCUGAGGAGCGAAAGCGUGGGGAGCGAACAGGAUUAGAUACCCUGGUAGUCCACGCCGUAAACGGUGGGCACUAGGUGUGGGCAACAUUCCACGUUGUCCGUGCCGCAGCUAACGCAUUAAGUGCCCCGCCUGGGGGAGUACGGCCGCAAGGCUAAAACUCAAGGAAUUGACGGGGGCCCGCACAAGCGGCGGAGCAUGUUGGCUUAAUUC